rnacentral:ncRNA from 2 species
ACCACGGAUCGUGACUGGCGCAAGUAGGUGGAGCACCACCGGGAAGCGAUCAUGACGACGAUGCCGUGCGCCUGGGCCACCGAC